rnacentral:tRNA from 1 species
CAUUAGAUGGCUGAAAGCAAGCAAUGGAAUUUUAACCCAUCUAAUAGUAAACUAGCAAUUACUUCUAAUGA